CCUACGGGUGGCAGCAGUGAGGAAUAUUGGACAAUGGGCGUAAGCCUGAACCAGCCAAGUCGCGUGAGGGAUGAAGGUUCUCUGGAUCGUAAACCUCUUUUAUAAGGGAAUAAAGUGUGGGACGUGUACUCUUUUGUAUGUACCUUAUGAAUAAGGAAAGGAUAACUCCGUGCCAGCAGCCGCGGUAAUACGGAGAAUCCGAUCGUUAUCCGGAUUUAGUGGGUUUAAAGGGUACGUCGGCGGCUUUUUAAGUAAGCGGUGAAAGUCUGUGGCUCAACCAGAGAAUUGCCGUUGAAACUGGUCGGCUUGAGUAUUUUUGAGGCAGGUGGAAUGCGUUGUGUAGCGGUGAAAUGCUUAGAUAUCACGCAGAACCCCGAUUGCGAAGGCAGCCUGCCAAGCCAUGACUGACGCUGAUGCACGAAAGCGUGGGGAUCAAACAGGAUUAGAUACCCGGGUAGUC
rnacentral:rRNA from 1 species